GCCCAGUGAUGAUUCCAAGGCGAAUGCGACUUGAUUGGCUCUGUGUAUGGGCAGCUGUCAUGUGACCCUCUCUUAACAGGCCUGUAAUCUUGGCAGACGCUGCGCAGUGUGGCUCGUUUGCUGUAAGGGCGGGCCGACAGUGAACAGCUCCCACUAGAAGUCAGCUGUGUGAAAUAUCAACAGUCUGACCACAGGCGGUGCUGACAGAGGAGAGAGCUGGGGGUGGGGGGGGGGUCGCGAUGACACUGCCCAAUCUCAGCACACCAGUCUAGAGUGAGCUCACUAUUCUGGAAAUCUGAGGGAA